AACUCGAAUUGCGACCGAGCAGCGGUCCCUACACGCUGGGCAACCCGUCCGCGGUCGUGCUGACCAUCCUGGAUAACGACGAGCCGCCGUUGGCCUCGAUUGACAACAUCGAAGUGAUCGAAGGCAAUCCGGGAGACACCGUGGUCGCUCGAUUCACGGUGACGCUGGCCAAUCCGAGCGGCUUGCAAGUGCAGAUCCCAUACGAGGUCGCCCCCGGAACGGCGACGACUCCCGCAGACUACACCGGUACGCUCUCGGGACUGCUGACGUUCGCGGCUCUUGAAGUCACCAAGGUCGUGGAGUUGGCGAUCACCAACGACAACACCACCGAAGCGGAUGAGACGUUCCGAGUGCUGCUCGGCUCACCCAUUAACGCGCGGCUGGGCAACGCUCAGGGAACGGCAACCAUCCGCGACAAUGACUUCGACGCCGUGGUGCAAUUCACGGUGUCGGCAGUCACCGUGGCUGAGACCUCCAACGCCGUGACGCUGACGAUCACCAGGACAGGCACGCGCGGCACGGCCAACAUCAACUUCGCGACGACAGGCGACGGCACCGCGACGUCCGGCGCCGAUUUCACGCCGGUCUCCGGCACGUUGGUCUUCGCCGAGAACGACACCAGCAAGACCAUCACGAUUCCGAUCUCCGACGAUACCGCCGACGAAUUCGACGAGACUAUCGUCGUGGCGCUUAGCCAGGCCGCUGCGCGCAGCGCUACGCUGGGAAAUCCCUCGGUAGUCACGGUAACCAUUACCGAUGAUGAUCCCGUACCGAAGAUUCUCAUCACGGAUGUGCAGGUCACGGAGGAAGAUUUCGGCAACGACUUCGCCGCCUUUACCGUCAGCUUGCUGGUGCCCAGCGGCAAGACGGUGACUGUGGACUUCGUCACGGCCAACGGCACUGCCGGAGCGCCGGCCGACUACGUGGCACGGACCUUAGGCACGGUCAUCUUCAAUCCGGGCGAAACGGCCAAGACGGUCAACGUCACCAUCAAUGGCGAUUUGAUUUCCGAGGGCGACGAGACCUUCUUCGUCAACCUCAGCAAUCCGGUCAACGCCAUCAUCGAGGACAACCAGGGCGUUGGCACGAUCAUCGACAACGAGCCGGCCCCGACCCCGCCGACCAUCAGCAUCGACAAUGCGGCGGUCAACGAGGGCAACUCCGGCAUUACGCCGAUGGUCUUCAACGUGCUGUUGUCUCGCGCCAGCAAUCAGACCAUCACGGUCAACUUCGCCACCGGUAACGAUUCGGCAGUCGCCCCCGGCGAUUACGCUGGCCAAAGCGGCGUGAUCACCUUCAACCCGGGCGAGACCUUCAAGACCAUCACGAUCAAUGUGAACGGCGACACGACGGCGGAAACGGACGAGACUUUCGUCGUGCAGCUCAGCAAUCCGCAACCGAGCACGAUUGAUCUGGUCAAGGCGGGGGCUGUUGGCACCAUUCGCAACGACGACGGCAGCGCACCGACGCAGCCGCCGCCGCUGACAACCGACAACCAGGCCUUUAUCGCACAGGUCUAUCGCGACAUUCUGCGGCGCGAGGUCGAUGGCGGGGGUCUGAACUUCUGGACCAACGUGCUCAACGACGGCGCCACGCGGUCGCAGGUCGUCCAGGGCAUCGAGGCCAGCGACGAGUUCCUACGCCUGACGGUGAGCGACAUGUACAGGAAGUACUUGGACCGAACCCCACAGGCGAACGAGGGUAGUGUGGACUUCUUCGUCAACUCCAUCAAGGCCGGCUCCACGCUGGAACAAGUGGCCGCGGUCAUUACUGGCUCGGCUGAGUACUUCAACCUGUCCGGCGGCGGCACCAAUGGCUUCCUAGAGAAUCUCUAUCAGGACGUUCUUGGCAGGGCCCUCGACAGUGCGGGUCGGACUCACUGGACCAACGCCUUGAACAGCGGUCAGAGCCGAACGCAAGUGGCCUUUGCCAUUCUGUCGAGCACGGAGUACCGUACCAACCUGAUCAAGAGCUACUACGUCGAUUUCCUCAAUCGCCAAGCUGAUCAGGGCGGUAUCGACUUCUUCCUCGCUCAGAUGGCCAACGGCAUGCGUGACGAGGUCGUGAUCGGCACGAUUUGCGGGUCGAACGAGUACUUCGCCAACGUUCCUUCGCCGCAAGGCUAAGCUAGUUUUGCAGCGGUCCUCGUCUUUGGACCGAGGACCGCUCUUCCAUUGCAAGUUCCUCUCGACGCUUUUCGAUUUUUUUGUUGACUUGACCGGCGCUGAGUUUAUUAUCAAGCCCGUUGGGUUUGGCCUCUUCUCUGUUCCGGCCCCGCUGUUCGACCUCUCGUAGGAAGUUCAGCGGGGUUUUUUCAUGCGCCCGGAGCACGAUUGCCGUUGACCCAUCAGACCCUAUACCAUGAGGAUGUCCCUGCGCACACCGCUUUAUGACUGGCAUCUGGCUCACGGCGCUCGCAUGGUCGAUUUCGCCGGCUGGGAUAUGCCUGUCCAGUACACGAGCAUCGUCGAAGAGCAUCAGGCGGUCCGGACGGCAGUCGGAGUUUUCGAUAUCAGCCAUAUGGGCCGACUCUGGUUUCCCGGCCUCGAUUCAUUGCCCUUAAUCCAGCGAGUCUACACGAACAACGCCGCCACCAUGAAGGAGGGACAGGCGCGCUACGGUCUGGUUUGCAAGGAAGAUGGCGGCAUUCUGGACGAUGUGCUUGUCUACCGGUGGCCCGAUGGCUACGGCAUGGUCGUCAACGCCUCCAAUCGCACCAAGAUCCUCGCCUGGAUCGAGUCGCACCAAGAAGCGC
rnacentral:misc_RNA from 1 species